UAACCUGCACCAGUAAACAAAGGGCAUCUAACCCUUGAGGUUUAAGCUUGAACGUGUCAUCAAAGCAACAGCAAACAGGUGGAUAUCCUUGGUAACAAUAAAUGCAAAUGCUGAAUUAGUAUAACAGUAAAAUUGAACUAGGUAAGUGGUUUGAUGAGUUAGCAACAGUCAUAAGAUAGCAUCUUCCGCAAUGCGGUAGAAUACAUGAAAACAUUAGACCAAACAGACCUGUGCCACAUGCAAACUAUAACAUGUGUUCCACUGAUCAAGUUUGUUCGUCAACCCUAUUCGAAAGUCACUGUGGAAACAUGUGUAUGAUGCUUUUAUGUUGAAGCAAGAAGUAGGUAUAGACAACCAUUACUAAGAUCACUCAUUUGUCAUGGCAACAUAGGUUAGUCUCUUUCGCUUUGAUAGUCAUGGAAAUUGAUAUCAAUGAAUCAAGCAGCUGACUAAUGACUCUAGCUGAUAGUUUGGCUAAGUAACAUUCAUGGAGAGAACGUGGAGUAGCAAAAAAUUGAAAGCUCACCUGAUCUCCUUUUGUUAAGUUGAGAAGCAUACAUAUUACAAUGACCUUCCAGGGGUCAGAUGCGUACUUCUCCUGCAGGAGGUUAUACUGGGAACGCGGCGGACGCACCAGCUGAUUCAGUGGCAGGCGGCGAUACUUGUCUGACCGCUUCUCGGCAGCACUAAGCAAUGCCAUGAAGGUCUCGUUUGCAGUGAGCUGAGUAGACAGAGAUGGCGGGUGAUCUCGAGGAAGCGGCCUGGCUGGACGAUCAGGGGUUUUCGGAAGAGACGGAGCAUUGAGACCUUCCUGGCGGUCAGGCUUGUAGCAGAACUGGUCAAAGAAUGCACCAAAAGGAGAGGAAUACUUGGAGUCCUGAUAAAUGGGAUUGGGAUUAGCCAUG